GACGAACGCUGGCGGCGUGCUUAACACAUGCAAGUCGAACGGAAAGGCCCUGCUUUUGUGGGGUGCUCGAGUGGCGAACGGGUGAGUAACACGUGAGUAACCUGCCCUUGACUUUGGGAUAACUUCAGGAAACUGGGGCUAAUACCGGAUAGGAGCUCCUGCUGCAUGGUGGGGGUUGGAAAGUUUCGGCGGUUUGGGAUGGACUCGCGGCUGAUCAGCUUGUUGGUGGGGGAGUGGCUUACCAAGGCUUUGACGGGUAGCCGGCCUGAGAGGGUGACCGGCCACAUUGGGACUGAGAUACGGCCCAGACUCCUACGGGAGGCAGCAGUGGGGAAUAUUGCACAAUGGGCGGAAGCCUGAUGCAGCAACGCCGCGUGCGGGAUGACGGCCUUCGGGUUGUAAACCGCUUUCGCCUGUGACGAAGCGUGAGUGACGGUAAUGGGUAAAGAAGCACCGGCUAACUACGUG
rnacentral:rRNA from 1 species